AUUGAACGCUGGCGGCAGGCCUAACACAUGCAAGUCGAGCGGAUGAAGGGAGCUUGCUCCUGGAUUCAGCGGCGGACGGGUGAGUAAUGCCUAGGAAUCUGCCUGGUAGUGGGGGAUAACGUCCGGAAACGGGCGCUAAUACCGCAUACGUCCUGAGGGAGAAAGUGGGGGAUCUUCGGACCUCACGCUCUCAGAUGAGCCUAGGUCGGAUUAGCUAGUUGGUGGGGUAAAGGCCUACCAAGGCGACGAUCCGUAACUGGUCUGAGAGGAUGAUCAGUCACACUGGAGCUGAGACACGGUCCAGGGUCCUACGGGAGGCAGCAGUGGGGAAUAUUGGACAAUGGUCGAAAGCCUGAUCCAGCCAUGCCGCGUGUGUGAAGAAGGUCUUCGGAGUGUAAAGCACUUUAAGUUGGGAGGAAGGGCAGUAAGUUAAUACCUUGCUGUAUUGACGGUACCAACAGAAUAAGCACCGGCUAACUUCGUG
rnacentral:rRNA from 1 species